rnacentral:rRNA from 1 species
GGGUCAGUAGGUUGGUCGUGCCACCGGUACGUACUGGUCUCACUGAUUCCUCCUUCCUGAAGAACCGUAAUGCCAUUAAUUCGGUGUUGCGGGGAAACAGGACUGUUACUUUGAAAAAAUUAGAGUGUUUAAAGCAAGCUAACGCUUGAAUACGUUAGCAUGGAAUAAUGAAAUAGGACGAUCGAUCCUAUUUUGUUGGUUUCUAGGAUUGACGUA